rnacentral:lncRNA from 1 species
AACGAAGUAACAGAUUCACGUAAGAUGUAAAUUAAUAUGUUAAAUUUGCCUGCUUUGGAUGUUCUGACGGCUGCAAUUUACAGAACUGUGACAUCAUUUAUUGGUGCUGAGUUGCGGA